rnacentral:rRNA from 1 species
AUGCUCAUCGGCAUCAACGUCUACUUCCUCAGCACCAGCUUCAUGGGGUGGCUCAUCAACAGCUCGCUGCCCACCUACGCCAAGGUGCUCGUCGGAGUCGUCGUCUGCCCGCUGAUGCUCGUCUACCUCGUCGCCGUCGUCUACCUCACCUUCAGGAAAGACACCGUCGUCACCUUCGUCGCAGACUCAUGCAAGGCCGACGCGGAGAAGGCUGCGGCCGGCAGUGGGGAGGACGAUGAUGAGCCCAUGCCCUACCGGGAGGACUUGGCAGACAUACCGCUCUGCCCACAGCACAGGCUAGUUAUAGAGACUAUGAUAGCAACAUGCAUCGCCUCGUCUUGUGAACAUGUAUAUGUACGAUGA